rnacentral:rRNA from 1 species
GAUGAACGCUGGCGGCGUGCCUAAUACAUGCAAGUCGAGCGAACAGAUGAGGAGCUUGCUCCUCUGACGUUAGCGGCGGACGGGUGAGUAACACGUUGAUAACCUACCUAUAAGACUGGGAUAACUUCGGGAAACCGGAGCUAAUACCGGAUAAUAUAUUGAACCGCAUGGUUCAAUAGUGAAAGACGGUUUUGCUGUCACUUAUAGAUGGAUCCGCGCCGCAUUAGCUAGUUGGUAAGGUAACGGCUUACCAAGGCAACGAUGCGUAGCCGACCUGAGAGGGUGAUCGGCCACACUGGAACUGAGACACGGUCCAGACUCCUACGGGAGGCAGAAGUAGGGAAUCUUCCGCAAUGGGCGAAAGCCUGACGGAGCAACGCCGCGUGAGUGAUGAAGGUCUUCGGAUCGUAAAACUCUGUUAUUAGGGAAGAACAAAUGUGUAAGUAACUAUGCACGUCUUGACGGUACCUAAUCAGAAAGCCACGGCUAACUACGUG